CUUAUUUCACUCGCUCUGUUCUGAUAGAAGCAGAGCACCGAAACUCUGUCCCUCUUUGUUCCAUUAGAAUCAAAGUCUCUGUUGUUUUUAGAUCUCCGGCGUCAAAGAUCUGAAGCAAUCCUUGGCCGACCCGCAGAAACUGAUAGUUAAAAAGAACGCAGAUCCAUUCUUCUGAUGUUUUUGCAUUCGAAUGUCUAUUUCUCUAUCUGAGCCUCAAGUAAAGUGGGAUGAGUUCUUCAAAUAAUUCAGGGGGAAACAAGUUAAUCGGAGAUUAUUUAGGUUAUGGACGAAUCUCUGGUUCAGACAACAACAACAACAACAACGGCAAUGGAAAUAAUUCAAAGGGUUCAUCUUCUUCAUCAAAGGGAAGCACCAAGAAGCAGAUAGGGCGCCUGAUAGGCUAUGGAAGGCAGAGGCCAUCUCAACCCGAAAAGUAAACAAUGCUUCUUGUUGUGUAUUGUUUCUGUUUCUCUGUUUUUGUUUCGUUGUGUGUUUCCUGGUUUUAUUUGGACUCGAGGCUU